rnacentral:rRNA from 1 species
AUUGAACGCUGGCGGCAGGCCUAACACAUGCAAGUCGAGCGGUAACAUUUCUAGCUUGCUAGAAGAUGACGAGCGGCGGACGGGUGAGUAAUGCUUGGGAACAUGCCUUGAGGUGGGGGACAACAGUUGGAAACGACUGCUAAUACCGCAUAAUGUCUAACGGACCAAAGGGGGCUUCGGCUCUCGCCUUUAGAUUGGCCCAAGUGGGAUUAGCUAGUUGGUGAGGUAAUGGCUCACCAAGGCGACGAUCCCUAGCUGGUUUGAGAGGAUGAUCAGCCACACUGGGACUGAGACACGGCCCAGACUCCUACGGGAGGCAGCAGUGGGGAAUAUUGCACAAUGGGCGCAAGCCUGAUGCGGCCAUGCCGCGUGUGUGAAGAAGGCCUUCGGGUUGUAAAGCACUUUCAGUCAGGAGGAAAGGUUAGUAGUUAAUACCUGCUAGCUGUGACGUUACUGACAGAAGAAGCACCGCUAACU